AAAAAAAUUUAUAACUAGAAUUUGAGUUCUGCGACACAGUCGUGCAUGAACUUGUCAUCAAAUUUUUAUUUGUUUGCGAUGCGAGUAGAAAAUUUUGUUUCGAUUUAAAACAAUUUGGAAUUUAUUUGCAUUUAACGGCAGUUCGUUCAAAAAUGCUGUCGGCCGGGCCGGAAUCUUCCCCGUUCAGAAACCAUAAAAUAGCGUUUCACGAACAGACAUUUUCGUUCAAAAAUGCCACAAUAUCGACGCAAAUGUCCAUUGGCCAGGUCAAUAGGGGACAACCGAGUUGGAUUCUUCAGCCAGCAGGUAAUCCAAGCAGCAGGAAGACUUAUCAAAAGGAUAAAGCUCCUGGUGAUAUCAUGCACAUCAAGUUCUUUCGACUGGAAAGACAUAACUACCGAAAAGCUACUCCAGUUCUAUGCGGAAUCUGAACUAUCCCAUCAUAAGGUUGCUACGACAACAUAAAACGUCUAUCUGAUUCGAUGAUGUAUAUCUCAGCCACAACCACACGGAAGAUAGUCUGGAAGAAACCAAGUUUGAUUGCCCUUUGCUGUAACCGAGCUCAAAAAAUUCUCCUGAUGCAAUCAACUGCCACGGCUUCUUCUCGAAACAUCUGAUUACGGAAAAUAUUUACUAUAUUCCGGAUGUAUAGAUUCGAGUGUGACCCUCAAAACAAAAGUACUGGUUGGAUCUCAGCUAUCACAUUCAGACAUCGGAUGGCGAUUCCACGACAUGGAAGUUCUAGGACGUAUUCAUGCUGCUUUCAACAACGUCCUUCAUCCGGAAGAUCGAUACAGUUGAAGCAACUGAAUCAGCGCCAAGAAUUCAAUUGUUUUGUUCGACCGGGGAGAAAAAUUUUCUUCAGAUUUUGAUCGCCAGAUGGCUCGAAAAAUAAUCAUCCCCAAAUCCAUGGACAUACGGAAAAACAAGUAGCUAACAUGUGGAGUUGCACCAAACAAACAGACGUUCGGAAAUUGGCAUGGUUCCUGA